AUCCUACUGGAAACGCUGGUGCGUCGUGGUCGUCACUCUGUAGGUACUCUUCUACAGAGUAUUAAGGAUUGGCCAACAGAGAGCAUGAAUUGAGAUACAUUUUUAAAUAAUCAAUUUCAAGGCAAACUCUUGAUCUUUACCUCAUCGUCGCCCAGAUCAGGUCAUCAUGUGAAGGAAAUUCAUAGAGCCAAAAUUCAAAUGAUGUCGACGUAUGAGUUUGAGCAUGAAGAAGCGAAUGAAGCUCUCAAUAGUUCAUCAUGGGUUGGUGAAGAUGAUGACUCACCCAUUGACGUAAGCUGGGUCACUCUGCAGG